GGUCGCGGCUGGCAGUACCUCGUCGACUGGGAGGGCUACGGUCCGGAGGAACGUUCGUGGAUAUCUGGUUCAUCUGUCUUAGAUCCGUCCCUCAUUUCAGACUAUCGCUCCUCAUUGCCAUCUACCUCUUCUAGGCCGCCAGGUGGCGACCAUUGAGGGGGGGGUACUGUUGUGUUCCGGGGCUCUCUGUCCUAUUGGUGGGGUUGCCUGCGCGCCGUUCUACAUAUUACCACCAGAAGGCGACAGGUUUCGGAUGGAGCGCGGUGACGUCAUCAUUUUCCCCAGCUGUUCCCGAUCACCUUCAUCAGCGGAGCAGUCAUAGGAGUGGGCCGUCAGUCCAACGUCGCCUGAGUGUUGUGCCAGUCACGGUUGCCCGAGUUCCCAGACUCACCUCUCUGCUGUUUGCAAAUCUCCUCUGGACUCCACGGCUGGCGGCCGUUCCACUCCUCCGUGUCUCCGUUUCACCCGAGCCUACCUGUCCGCUCCCCGCCGCACUCCUCCGCUGUCCCUGGAUCCAUUAGGGACCGAGACCCCGGACAAACCCAGUUUCCCUCCACAACUCUGCUCCAACAACCACAAUGAACUGUUGCUACCAUUACUGUUUAUUCCCCUGGACCAGACCACCCCGACUCUCUCUCUUUGAUUAUUGUGUGAUCUUUAAUAAAUCAUUUAAAACUGA